rnacentral:miRNA from 1 species
GUUGGGGGACAUUGAUCUCGGAG